rnacentral:rRNA from 1 species
UACGUAGGGUGCGAGCGUUAAUCGGAAUUACUGGGCGUAAAGCGUGCGCAGGCGGUUCGUUAAGUCAGAUGUGAAAGCCCCGGGCUCAACCUGGGAACUGCAUUUGAAACUGGCGGGCUUGAGUGUGGCAGAGGGGGGUGGAAUUCCACGUGUAGCAGUGAAAUGCGUAGAUAUGUGGAGGAACACCGAUGGCGAAGGCAGCCCCCUGGGCUAACACUGACGCUCAUGCACGAAAGCGUGGGGAGCAAACAGG